rnacentral:rRNA from 1 species
UUGGAGGGCAAGUCUGGUGCCAGCAGCCGCGGUAAUUCCAGCUCCAAUAGCGUAUAUUAAAGUUGUUGCAGUUAAAAAGCUCGUAGUUGAACUUCGGGGUUUACCCAUUGGUCAGGCUUAAUUGUCUGUACUGGUGAGAUGAAUCUCUACCUUCUGAGGAACUUUCAUGUCAUUAAUUUGGUGUGAUUGGAAAUCAGGACUGUUACUUUGAAAAAAUUAGAGUGUUUAAAGCAGGCUAACGUCUGAAUACAUUAGCAUGGAAUAAUGAAAUAGGACGGAUUGAUUCUAUUUCGUUGGUUUCUAGGAUCACCGUAAUGAUUAAUAGGGAUAGUUGGGGGCAUUAGUAUUCAAUUGUCAGAGGUGAAAUUCUUGGAUUUAUUGAAGACUAACUACUGCGAAAGCAUUUGCCAAGGAUGUUUUCAUUAAUCAAGAACGAAAGUUAGGGGAUCGAAGACGAUCAGAUACCGUCGUAGUCUUAACCAUAAACUAUGCCGACUAGGGAUCGGACGAAGUUAAUUUUAUAAUGACGCGUUCGGCGCCUUACGGGAAAC